GCUUAACACAUGCAAGUCGAGGGGCAUCAGGACCAAUGCUUGCUUUCUUUGCUGGCGACCGGCGCACGGGUGAGUAACACGUAUCCAACCUGCCCUUUACUCGGGGAUAGCCUUUCGAAAGAAAGAUUAAUACCCGAUAGCAUAAUGAUUCCGCAUGGUUUCAUUAUUAAAGGAUUCCGGUAAAGGAUGGGGAUGCGUUCCAUUAGGUUGUUGGUGAGGUAACGGCUCACCAAGCCUUCGAUGGAUAGGGGUUCUGAGAGGAAGGUCCCCCACAUUGGAACUGAGACACGGUCCAAACUCCUACGGGAGGCAGCAGUGAGGAAUAUUGGUCAAUGGGCGCUAGCCUGAACCAGCCAAGUAGCGUGAAGGAUGAAGGCUCUAUGGGUCGUAAACUUCUUUUAUAUAAGAAUAAAGUGCAGUAUGUAUACUGUUUUGUAUGUAUUAUAUGAAUAAGGAUCGGCUAACUCCGUGCCAGCAGCCGCGGUAAUACGGAGGAUCCGAGCGUUAUCCGGAUUUAUUGGGUUUAAAGGGAGCGUAGGUGGACUGGUAAGUCAGUUGUGAAAGUUUGCGGCUCAACCGUAAAAUUGCAGUUGAUACUGUCAGUCUUGAGUACAGUAGAGGUGGGCGGAAUUCGUGGUGUAGCGGUGAAAUGCUUAGAUAUCACGAAGAACUCCGAUUGCGAAGGCAGCUCACUGGACUGCAACUGACACUGAUGCUCGAAAGUGUGGGUAUCAAACAGGAUUAGAUACCCUGGUAGUCCACACAGUAAACGAUGAAUACUCGCUGUUUGCGAUAUACAGUAAGCGGCCAAGCGAAAGCAUUAAGUAUUCCACCUGGGGAGUACGCCGGCAACGGUGAAACUCAAAGGAAUUGACGGGGGCCCGCACAAGCGGAGGAACAUGUGGUUUAAUUCGAUGAUACGCGAGGAACCUUACCCGGGCUUAAAUUGCAGUGGAAUGAUGUGGAAACAUGUCAGUGAGCAAUCACCGCUGUGAAGGUGCUGCAUGGUUGUCGUCAGCUCGUGCCGUGAGGUGUCGGCUUAAGUGCCAUAACGAGCGCAACCCUUAUCUUUAGUUACUAACAGGUCAUGCUGAGGACUCUAGAGAGACUGCCGUCGUAAGAUGUGAGGAAGGUGGGGAUGACGUCAAAUCAGCACGGCCCUUACGUCCGGGGCUACACACGUGUUACAAUGGGGGGUACAGAAGGCAGCUAGCGGGUGACCGUAUGCUAAUCCCAAAAGCCUCUCUCAGUUCGGAUCGAAGUCUGCAACCCGACUUCGUGAAGCUGGAUUCGCUAGUAAUCGCGCAUCAGCCACGGCGCGGUGAAUACGUUCCCGGGCCUUGUACACACCGCCCGUCAAGCCAUGGGAGCCGGGGGUACCUGAAGUACGUAACCGCAAGGAUCGUCCUAGGGUAAAACUGGUGACUGGGGCUAA
rnacentral:rRNA from 1 species